AAUAGAUACCCUGGUAGUCCACGCUGUAAACGUUGGACACUAGGUGUGGCGGUCUGAUCAACGACUGCCGUGCCGAAGCUAACGCAUUAAGUGUCCCGCCUGGGGAGUACGGCCGCAAGGCUAAAACUCAAAGGAAUUGACGGGUCCCCGCACAAGCGGCGGAGCAUGCGGCUUAAUUCGAUGCAACCCGAAGAACCUUACCUGGGUUUGACAUCAUGGGAAAAGCCGUGGAAACACGGUGUCCGAAAGGGCCCAUGACAGGUGGUGCAUGGCUGUCGUCAGCUCGUGUCGUGAGAUGUUGGGUUAAGUCCCGCAACGAGCGCAACCCUUGUCCUAUGUUGCCAGCGGUUCGGCCGGGGACUCAUAGGAGACUGCCGGGGAUAACUCGGAGGAAGGUGAGGACGAUGUCAAGUCAUCAUGCCCCUUAUAUCCAGGGCUGCACGCAUGCUACAAUGGUCGGUACAACGGGCAGCGAUCCUGCGAAGGUGAGCGAAUCCCACAAAGCCGGCCUCAGUUCGGA
rnacentral:rRNA from 1 species